CCCUGCCAGCCUGCGGGUGCGCUCCGAGCCUCCGCCCGGCGGUGCCCACCCUGGAGCCACCAGCCCAAGUGGGGGGAGCCGGCACCACCCGGACCAGGCCUCCCUCCCCCAUCCUCUCCCAGGGACGCGGGCUCUGCCAAGGCUUGCAGGGGAGUGGGAGCCGCCACCCCCAAAUGAGGCCCUGCAUGCGGAAGCCAGCUGGCGGGAAGUGGGGGUCAGCAGGGGAGCUGCAGGCCCCAGACUGGCAGCCACGAGGUCCUUCCCUGUGUCCUUCCGGCCCCCACGGGAGAAGAGCGGCAGGCACGGAAAGAGAAGUUCGUGGCGGUGGUGUCUGGGAUAGUUCGGGGACUGAGGAGGGCGGGAGAGGAGGUCUGCCGUCCCCUGUCCCUGCCGGCACUUGGGAUCAGACACGGUUGUGUUCAGAGGCAGAAUGACAGUGCCACAAAGGAGUUUCCGAGAUUCUAAAUCCACGGACGCACCCGCUGGGUGUCCCUCACUCGGCAGGAUGCGAUGCUGACUGUCGUCGGAUAGAGACGAGAGCGUCUCACUCAGGCAGUGCCUCUGUGAUGAAACUCUCAUCGUACGAGCCCCGCACGCGGCCUUGGGGUGGGGGGCCCUCAGCACGUGGCAUCAGCGGGUACGUGUGACAUGUGACCGACCGUGGCCAAGUAGGGCCGGGGACAUCAGCUCUGCAGGGCAAGGGGCAAAGGUGGUUUCCUUUUGGAUUUGUCCUGCUAAGCGAUACGGGAUGAGCGGUUGGUUGUGCACGGAUCGUGACUUACUCCACGCUAAGGAGCCAUUCACAAGACGCGAGUGUUGCUAUAAUUUGGAGGAGUCGCUGCAGAAGCGAGCGUAAUUCCGACUCUGCGUUCCCCGACCCUGGCUAGCUCCAUGACAGUUUUUGUUUCCUAUGAAAGCAGCCUGCUUAUUGGUAAUUCCUUUAAAUAAAGGAAUUAUUUUCCCAAGCAA